rnacentral:rRNA from 1 species
UGAGUAACACGUAUCCAACCUGCCGUCUACUCUUGGACAGCCUUCUGAAAGGAAGAUUAAUACAAGAUGGCAUCAUGAGUUCACAUGUUCACAUGAUUAAAGGUAUUCCGGUAGACGAUGGGGAUGCGUUCCAUUAGAUAGUAGGCGGGGUAACGGCCCACCUAGUCUUCGAUGGAUAGGGGUUCUGAGAGGAAGGUCCCCUACAUUGGAACUGAGACACGGUCCAA